rnacentral:rRNA from 1 species
GACGAACGCUGGCGGCGUGCUUAACACAUGCAAGUCGAACGGAAAGGCCCUGCUUUUGUGGGGUUCUCGAGUGGCGAACGGGUGCGUAACACGUGAGUAACCUGCCCUUGUCUUUCGGAUAACUUCACGAAACUGGGGCUAAUAUCGGAUAGGAUCUCCUGCUGCAUGGUGGGGGUUGGAAAGUUUCGGCGGUUGGGGAUGGACUCGCGGCUUAUCAGCUUGUUGGUGGGGUAGUGGCUUACCAAGGCUUUGACGGGUAGCCGGCAUGAGAGGGUGAACGGCGACAUGACGACUAAGAGACGGAGCAGAGUGGAACGGGAGGCAACAGGGGGAAAUAUUGCACAAUGGGCCGAAGUGUGAUGCGGAGACGUCGCGGGCGGGAUGACGGCCUGCGGGUUAAGAACAGCUUUCGCCUGUGACGAAGCGGGAGUGACGGUAAUGAAUAAAGAAGCACCGGCUAACUACGUG